rnacentral:rRNA from 1 species
UACGUAGGGGGCUAGCGUUGUCCGGAUUUAUUGGGCGUAAAGAGCGUGUAGGCGGCCAUGUAGGUCCGGUGUGAAAACUCGAGGCUUAACCUCGAGAUGUCAUCGGAAACCAUCUGGCUAGAGUCCGGGAGAGGAGAGUGGAAUUCCUGGUGUAGCGGUGAAAUGCGCAGAUAUCGUCAAGAACACCGAUAGCGAAGGCAGCUUACUAAGCUCAAACUGACACUGAUGCACGAAAGUGUGGGGAUCAAACAGG